UGGACCAAUGAUGAGAGUGUAUCAUGAACUAAGGAUUAUGAUUAAACCAAUUAUCUGCACAGGAGGUCGCUA
rnacentral:snoRNA from 1 species